GCCUACGACUAUACCACGGUAAAUAUACGGCAUCCCGUACGAUUUGCCAAGUCAAGCACCGUUGGGUUGGAGUAGUACUUGGGUCCGAGACGGCCUGGGAAUUCCCAUUGUCGUAAGCA
rnacentral:rRNA from 1 species